UACGGGGGGAGCAAGCGUUGUUCGGAUUUACUGGGCGUAAAGGGCGCGUAGGCGGUCAGCACAAGUCAGUUGUGAAAUCUCCGGGCUUAACUCGGAAAGGUCAACUGAUACUGUGCGACUAGAGUGCGGAAGGGGCAACUGGAAUUCUCGGUGUAGCGGUGAAAUGCGUAGAUAUCGGAAGGAACACCAGUGGCGAAAGCGGCUUCCUGGUCCAGCACCGACGUUCAGGCACGAAAGCGUGGGGAGCAAACAGG
rnacentral:rRNA from 1 species